AGCACAGUUGUAGGAGAGCGGAUGGUGAGCGCACUGGUGUUUGCUGGCUUGGGUAAGAUCUGAGGGUAGCGGUGUCUGGCAGAACGGUCCCCACCAGGACUNGCUGGAACGUUCUGAGGAGUCUUUGGUGUCUGUUUCACAGACUGCAUGUGCUGAGUGACAACUUGCACAUUGAGGGGAAGAACCUUGCCAUCAGGAGAAUUCAUUGGACUNGGUGAAGUUACUAACUGCCUCGUCCGCUGGACCUGCAAAAAGCCUCGCUGCUCCCUUUGGCCCCGUCUCAGCGUUCCUCCUAGCAUCUGCACCCAGGAAAGCCUCUGCCAACAGCUCACAGCUUUCUGCCUUGUCCUCUUGCCAGGGUUUCUGGACAGGAAUGAUUUCCAAGCAGCUGACUUAUAAAAAGGACAUUUGUAACACAACCUGUCCUCAAGAUGGAAACUGUACUUAUAAAAAAAAAAAAAAUUUGCCUUCAAAGGAUGAAAAUUAAUUUAUCAUGAGUAUUCUUUUAAAAAUGUACUAACAGUUGAGAAUAAAAUUCAAGACAAAGUGUUUUCAGUAAUGAUAUAAUUGGUAAAGUUUUGUGUUCUUAUAUGUUGCUUCUAAAAAUAAAAAUCACCUGUUC
rnacentral:lncRNA from 1 species